rnacentral:rRNA from 1 species
AUUGAACGCUGGCGGCAUGCUUUACACAUGCAAGUCGAACGGUAACAGGGUGCUUGCACCGCUGACGAGUGGCGAACGGGUGAGUAAUGCGUCGGAACGUGCCGAGUAGUGGGGGAUAACGCAUCGAAAGGUGUGCUAAUACCGCAUACGUACUGAGGUAGAAAGUGGGGGACCUUCGGGCCUCACGCUAUUCGAGCGGCCGACGUCUGAUUAGCUAGUUGGUGAGGUAAAGGCUCACCAAGGCGACGAUCAGUAGCGGGUCUGAGAGGAUGGUCCGCCACACUGGGACUGAGACACGGCCCAGACUCCUACGGGAGGCAGCAGUGGGGAAUUUUGGACAAUGGGCGCAAGCCUGAUCCAGCCAUGCCGCGUGUCUGAAGAAGGCCUUCGGGUUGUAAAGGACUUUUGUCCGGGAGCAAAUACCCAGUGCUAAUAACGCUGGGGGCUGAGAGUACCGGAAGAAUAAGCACCGGCUAACUACGUGCCAGCCGCCGCAGUAAGAC